UGGGAGGCAGCAGUAAGGAAUAUUGGUCAAUGGACGCAAGUCUGAACCAGCCAUGCCGCGUGGAGGAUGAAGGCCCUCUGGGUUGUAAACUUCUUUUCUUUGGGACGAAACCUCUAUUUCUAUGGAGACUGACGGUACCAGAGGAAUAAGCACCGGCUAACUCCGUGCCAGCAGCCGCGGUAAUACGGAGGGUGCAAGCGUUAUCCGGAUUCACUGGGUUUAAAGGGAGCGUAGGUGGACUUUUAAGUCAGUGGUGAAAUCUCUGGGCUUAACCCGGAAACUGCCAUUGAUACUAUUAGUCUUGAAUUCUCUGGAGGUAAGCGGAAUAUGUCAUGUAGCGGUGAAAUGCUUAGAUAUGACAUAGAACACCCAUUGCGAAGGCAGCUUACUACGGAGACAUUGACACUGAGGCUCGAAAGCGUGGGGAUCAAACAGGAUUAGAUACCCUGGUAGUCCACGCCCUAAACGAUGAUUACUCGACAUUAGCGAUAUUACUGUUAGUGUCUAAGCGAAAGCAUUAAGUAAUCCACCUGGGAAGUACGACCGCAAGGUUGAAACUCAAAGGAAUUGACGGA
rnacentral:rRNA from 1 species